UCUUUCAAGUAGUUGCGUAGUCACGUCUUGCCUACUGCUUACCAGCCGUAGAAAAUCUGCGACCACUGCAGACGUUUGCAGUGAUCGUGAACAGCUGGAUGUGAAACUGUAGUAGGAGAAAAAAUUUUCAAUCCUGUAAAAUCAGAAUAUUAUGUCGAAGUGCAAAAUUUAGCUUUGCCAUUCCCAUCAGCCAGUGGCGAGUCUGUAACAACGAAAUGAGUAUGUGCAUGUGACCAUCCUUUAAUGGUGCACAUCAAUGCAAAACGGUGCUUUAGGCCAGUACGAUGAACUCAAUUAAUAUUGAAACAGUGCUAAAUGAAAGAGUUAUAUUGGCUAGUUUCUCGUGGCAGCGGCCUAUCUUUUGGCCUUUUAGCUUGCGAACCUCCCAGUGCUUAGGCUCGACAUAAAGGUACAGUAGCCAAGGGACGGUUCUGGGGCCUAAGCGAUAAAGCUCUAUUAUACUCUAAAUGGAUCAAAGAUCAAUUUCUGGCUUAAUGAUCGAACGCAGUCAGUUUCAAAGAAGGCUCCACGAUCGCGACCAUUUGCUUAGUCGUACAGGCUCUCGCCUAAAAAUAAAAGACAAAGACGCGUAAUUCGUUUCUGGUGCUACACGAUAGUUGCAUAAGGCCUACCGCUAAGAGUCGUGAGCGCACGAGAGCAACAGGGCGCUCUUUCAAGACCGCGUUCCGAACAAGUAAUGCUAAGAAAGACGCGAGACGUGCACAAAGAUAAUAGGGUUUCAUUUCCGUGGCAAAGAUGCGUUUCCAGAUCGAGCUUCAUCUUCUCACUGUCUCUUAUUCAGGCCUUCUUUUAGCGUUCCCAACACCGAAACGACAACGAUGGGCCCUUGGUCAGGACCGUGCAUGAUCCUUUGUUUAGGUGAGUGGACGAAUUAAGCUAUACGAAGACGACUCGCCGGGUUAUCUGAGAGAUCUUUUACUCGUAUAAGAUGGACAGUGAUGUAAUGAACGGAUUGUCGCGAAUGAGGAAGAUAAAGCAGAAGUGAUAGGUGGCGGGCCAGGCAACCCGGCAUUAAUCGUAUUGUCCGGUUUUCAUAGUAGUGGCGUAACGUCGAAGAAAUAGUACAUCUUCAUGUAUCGCAAUCGACCGAAAGAAGGGGACACGCGCAAACGACGUGGGAUCCCUCUUUACCAGUCCGUCAACAAAGUAUUUAUGUCCUAACGCUAAGUGCGUAGCUCAGACUAGUCGUCAGUUACGCCUAAUCGCCGUCGUUGAAUACGCGGACAACGAUGCCAGUCCGCGCUAACUUCGCGCCUUCUGCUUCGGCCCUUUCUUCCAAGUUCAUCCAAGAUAUAUGUACGCAAGUGUUUUGGAUAUAGGAUAUCAAAGACGCUUGCAUACAAACAAUGCCUCAAGUUAGCAGUAACCUACAGCAACCUAUCGGUACCUACCAGCACAUUCUACAUAUAACACAACAUAUAUUACAUAUGACCUACGUUACCACAAAAUUAGUUUUAAAUUGAUGAUGUAACUAGCGGUAAGUUGAAGCAAACGCGUGCACCUCUAAGCAGAUGAAUGUGUGCGCAAAAACUUAAAUAUGACACAGGCAUCGAUUGGUUCAAUCGAAACGGGUAAACGUCAAUAAAGCACUUGUUAUUCGCAAAAGCCUCUGAAAGGAGACCUCGAAAUGCUGGGCGCAAAUGGAAUGCAAUGUCCACUUCAGAAAAUACAUGUAGUUCAUCAUCAGAGGCCAUAGACGAUCAAUACGUGAUUAAGUUCGGUGAUCGUUCGGUAAUA